AGCGAGGUAGGAUUUGGGCUGCAGACCCGGGUGGUCCCAGGACUCCUGGGGCCUGUUGUGGUGGGGUGGGGUGGGGGCACGGCAGAGCUUCCCAAGGAAGUCACGGGACCCCGCCUCAGGAUAUUCAGAAGCUCUAGUCCAGUUCUGGCAGCCUGAACUCUUCCUCCUCCAAGGUGAAAUCCAAGAAUACACUUCCUUCCAAGGACAGCAACUGACCUGCAAAAUGGGCGCCAGUUAGGGUGGCAGGGAGGACGCACGUUACAGUCAUUUAUUCCAAAAUUUGCCAUUUUCGCCAAACUUUCGAUGAUGACCUGGCAUGGUGGGUGGCU
rnacentral:lncRNA from 1 species